AAAAUAAAAAAAUAAAAAAAAACGAUUUACUUAAAGAUUAACUAUAAAAACUUGUUAAAAAUUUUUCUGUAUUAAAUACUUGAAUUAAAGUUCAUAAUUACCAAUAUUCAAAUACUUACGUGAACUUUUUGGCAAUGGUUAGUUGGCAGAAUUUUUCGGAUGACCAAAUUCUAAUUUUAAUUGGUGUUUUCCUCGGUAUUUAUUUGUUAGGAUACAGUUUAAUCUUGUUUAUUCAAGACCGAGAAUUAACCACAGACGAUGGCGAGGCAAGUAAAGCUAUAUUUGUGGCAAAUCGAUCACGGAAAAGUGAAAAUUUGUUAGAUACACAUAAAAAGUCACGUAAACUUUCAAAUUUUUAAUUAAUCGCCAUUGUUUGGUAUUUAUUAAUAAAUUAAUUUCAAAAGUAUUUUUCUAUCUUUUAUAUUUACUACUUAAAUAUAAAACGUAUAAAACGUAAUUAUACUGAAUAUAAAUUAUGAUAUAGCGAUGACUAUUUGUAUAUUAAUUCUUUGUCGAAAAUAAAAAAGUUGUUUGAAAAA
rnacentral:lncRNA from 1 species